AUUGAACGCUGGCGGCAUGCCUUACACAUGCAAGUCGAACGGUAACAGGUCUUCGGAUGCUGACAAGUGGCGAACGGGUGAGUAAUACAUCGGAACGUGCCUAGUAGUGGGGGAUAACUACUCGAAAGAGUGGCUAAUACCGCAUGAGAUCUACGGAUGAAAGCAGGGGAUCGCAAGACCUUGUGCUACUAGAGCGGCCGAUGGCAGAUUAGGUAGUUGGUGGGAUAAAAGCUUACCAAGCCGACGAUCUGUAGCUGGUCUGAGAGGACGAUCAGCCACACUGGGACUGAGACACGGCCCAGACUCCUACGGGAGGCAGCAGUGGGGAAUUUUGGACAAUGGGCGCAAGCCUGAUCCAGCAGUGCCGCGUGCAGGAUGAAGGCCUUCGGGUUGUAAACUGCUUUUGUACGGAACGAAAAGCCCUGGGUUAAUACCCUGGGGUCAUGACGGUACCGUAAGAAUAAGCACCGGCUAACUACGUGCCAGCCGCCGCAGUAAUAC
rnacentral:rRNA from 1 species